rnacentral:rRNA from 1 species
UACGUAGGGUGGGAGCGUUGUCCGGAAUUACUGGGCGUAAAGAGCUCGUAGGCGGCUUGUCGCGUUGUUCGUGAAAAUUUACCGCUCAACGGUGAACUUGCGGGCGAUACGGGCAGGCUAGAGUACUGCAGGGGAGACUGGAAUUCCUGGUGUAGCGGUGAAAUGCGCAGAUAUCAGGAGGAACACCGAUGGCGAAGGCAGUGUUCUGGGCCAGUACUGACGCUGAGGAGCGAAAGCGUGGGGAGCAAACAGG